rnacentral:rRNA from 1 species
UAACGCGUAGGUAACCUGCCUUGUAGCGGGGGAUAACUAUUGGAAACGAUAGCUAAUACCGCAUAACAAUGGGUGACUCAUGUCAUUUAUUUGAAAGGGGCAAAAUGCUCCACUACAAGAUGGACCUGCGUUGUAUUAGCUAGUAGGUGAGGUAACGGCUCACCUAGGCGACGAUACAUAGCCGACCUGAGAGGGUGAUCGGCCACACUGGGACUGAGACACGGCCCAG